GCUGGGCAUGGUGGCACAUGCCUGUAGUCCCAGCUACUUGGGAGGCUGAGGCAGAAGAACUGCUUGAACCUGGGAGGCGGAGAUCCGGCCACUGCACUCCAGCCUCAGCGACAGAGCAAGACUCNNNNNNNNNNUUUUUGAGACAGAGUCUUGCUCUGUCGCUGAGGCUGGAGUGCAGUGGCCGGAUCUCCGCCUCCCAGGUUUACGCCAUUCUCCUGCCUCAG
rnacentral:SRP_RNA from 1 species